UGGCUCAGAUUGAACGCUGGCGGCAGGCCUAACACAUGCAAGUCGGACGGUAGCACAGAGAGCUUGCUCUUGGGUGACGAGUGGCGGACGGGUGAGUAAUGUCUGGGGAUCUGCCCGAUAGAGGGGGAUAACCACUGGAAACGGUGGCUAAUACCGCAUAACGUCGCAAGACCAAAGAGGGGGACCUUCGGGCCUCUCACUAUCGGAUGAACCCAGAUGGGAUUAGCUAGUAGGCGGGGUAAUGGCCCACCUAGGCGACGAUCCCUAGCUGGUCUGAGAGGAUGACCAGCCACACUGGAACUGAGACACGGUCCAGACUCCUACGGGAGGCAGCAGUGGGGAAUAUUGCACAAUGGGCGCAAGCCUGAUGCAGCCAUGCCGCGUGUAUGAAGAAGGCCUUCGGGUUGUAAAGUACUUUCAGCGGGGAGGAAGGCGGUGAGGUUAAUAACCUUACCGAUUGACGUUACCCGCAGAAGAAGCACCGGCUAACUCCGUGCCA
rnacentral:rRNA from 1 species